rnacentral:rRNA from 1 species
AUAGGGGAGCCGAAGGGAAACCGAGUCUUAACUGGGCGUUAAGUUGCAGGGUAUAGACCCGAAACCCGGUGAUCUAGCCAUGGGCAGGUUGAAGGUUGGGUAACACUAACUGGAGGACCGAACCGACUAAUGUUGAAAAAUUAGCGGAUGACUUGUGGCUGGGGGUGAAAGGCCAAUCAAACCGGGAGAUAGCUGGUUCUCCCCGAAAGCUAUUUAGGUAGCGCCUCGUGAACUCAUCUUCGGGGGUAGAGCACUGUUUCGGCUAGGGGGUCAUCCCGACUUACCAACCCGAUGCAAACUGCGAAUACCGAAGAAUGUUAUCACGGGAGACACACGGCGGGUGCUAACGUCCGUCGUGAAGAGGGAAACAACCCAGACCGCCAGCUAAGGUCCCAAAGUCACAGUUAAGUGGGAAACGAUGUGGGAAGGCUCAGACAGCCAGGAUGUUGGCUUAGAAGCAGCCAUCAUUUAAAGAAAGCGUAAUAGCUCACUGGUCGAGUCGGCCUGCGCGGAAGAUGUAACGGGGCUAAACUGUGCACCGAAGCUGCGGCAGCGACGCUUAUGCGUUGUUGGGUAGGGGAGCGUUCUGUAAGCCUGCGAAGGUGUCCUGUGAGGGAUGCUGGAGGUAUCAGAAGUGCGAAUGCUGACAUAAGUAACGAUAAUGCGGGUGAAAAGCCCGCUCGCCGGAAGACCAAGGGUUCCUGUCCAACGUUAAUCGGGGCAGGGUGAGUCGACCCCUAAGGCGAGGCCGAAAGGCGUAGUCGAUGGGAAACGGGUUAAUAUUCCCGUACUUGGUGUUACUGCGAAGGGGGGACGGAGAAGGCUAUGUUGGCCGGGCGACGGUUGUCCCGGUUUAAGCGUGUAGGCUGGUUUUCCAGGCAAAUCCGGAAAAUCAAGGC